UGGGCCGUAGCUCAGCCUGGGAGAGCGCGCGGCUGAAGACCGCGUUGUCCGGGGUUCAAAUCCCCGCGGCCCCA
rnacentral:tRNA from 1 species